CACAUAUAUCUAUCUAUACCAAAUACAUCCUUAAACUUUAUUAUUACCACAUCUCGUUUUCAACUGUUUAAAAUUUCAAACCAGACGACGCCGUUGUAAUACAACCCCUAGGCCAAGUUGCAAACAGAGGAGAAAGCAAGACCAAGAUUGCCAUACCAUUCUGCCACUCCGACUCUAUUUUCUCCGCCGUUGCUACUGAAAAAAGUUUUGUGAUGCUAUGAGUGUAAGAUGGCCAAGGAUUCUUACACCAACACAUCUCUCUCAGAUUAUAAAGAGCCAAAAGAAUCCAUUAACAGCUUUGCAUCUCUUUAACCAAGCAAAACACAAAUACCCCAACUAUCAUCACAAUGGUCCAGUCUAUGCCACCAUGAUUUCCAUCCUCGGAAACUCGGGUCGAAUUUCCGAGAUGAAAGAUGUUAUUGGUCAGAUGCAAGAAGAUUCCUGUGAGUGCAAAGAUAAAGUCUUUGCAAAUGCAAUCAAGACUUACACGAAUGCGGGCCUUCUAAAUGAAGCUAUAUCUCUCUUUAAGAGCAUUCCGCAAUUCAAUUGUGUAAAUUGGACGGAAUCUUUUAAUACUCUUUUGCAAAUAUUGGUUAGAGAAUCUAAGCUUGAAUCAGCUCACCGUCUCUUCUUGGAGAACUCGUGUGGUUGGGAAGUGAAGUCUCGUGUUCGUUCGUUGAACUUGCUUAUGGAUGUUCUUUGUCAAUGUAACCGCUCUGACUUUGCUUUACAGAUCUUCGAAGAAAUGAAUUAUCAGGGUUGCUACCCGGAUAGGGAUAGUUAUCGAAUUGUUAUGUCGGGUUUGUGUAAAGAUGGGAGGCUGAAUGAGGCUACUCAUUUAUUGUAUUCGAUGUUUUGGAGGAUAUCUCUAAAGGGAAGUGGUGAGGAUAUUGUAAUUUAUAGAAUUCUUUUGGAUGCUUUAUGUGAUAAUGAUAUGGUUGAAGAGGCUUUAGACGUUCUCGGCAAGAUCUUAAGGAAGGGGCUGAAGGCUCCUAAAAGCUGUCACCCCCGUCUUGACCUCAAUAAAUGCAAUAGUGAGAACAGAGAACUCACUAAGCGAUUGAUUAAUGAAGCUCUAACCAGAGGUGCUAUCCCUAGUUUGGGUAGUUAUACUGCUAUGUCUAUCGAUCUUUAUGCUGAAGGUAAGAUUAGUCAAGCUAAUAAAGUGCUUGAUGAGACACAGGAUAGAGGCUAUAGACCAUCUCUUUUAGCUUAUGAAGCAAAGGUGGCUGCAUUGUGUAAGGAAGGUAAAGUUCACGAAGCAGUCAAUGUAUUUGAAGUGGAAAUGGUGGAGGCAAAUUGUGUCCCAAAUGUGAGAUUGUAUAAUAUCUUGUUGAAAGGCCUGUGUGAGUUGGGGAAUUCAGCAACAGCUGUUAAGUAUUUGAAGAAGAUGGCAAAGCAGAUUGGCUGUGCUGCAAACAAGGAAAGCUACUGCAUUUUAGUGAAUGGGCUAUGUCGAGAUGGUGCAUUUAUUGAAGCAAGUCGACUUCUGGAGGAGAUGUUAACUAAAUCACACUGGCCUCCUGUUGACACUUUCAACAUGCUUAUACAAGGUCUUUGCUCAGUGGACAGGCAAUAUGAAGCUGUUAUGUGGUUGGAGGAGAUGAUUAGCAUGGGUGAGCUGCCGCAAAUUUCGCUAUGGAACUCCCUCGUAAGUUGUGUGUGUUCUAACAUAGCUAACACUGAAGCUGGUUGUGAAGCAUUUAAUCAGCUCAGUAGAUGUUAGUUUCUGUAGCAGCAUUCUCAUGUUUGUAGUCGAUUCUGAUGACAUAAUGAGAAGCAAUCAAGCCAGUGGAGAUCAGGAUUAAACUAGGCAGAACAAGAAGAGAAAUGCUUCAGUGUUGAUUGAUACUCAUACACUUCCCCUUCAAUUCAGCCUUCGCUAAUUGCAUUUGCUGAGAUGGUCAACUACCUCGUUCCGGCUCGUAUAAUGAAGGAAGCUGGAGUGUAGAAGAUCUGCAAAUUUGCACCUCUACUGCUUUACUCAUCGCCAUGGCUAACCUGGUUUUCUUUUGUAACAUCAAAUUAUUGUCAUGAGACUUUUGUUGCACCAUGAUAUUGAGUUGACUUUUGAUGAAAGAAUUAUAAGUUGUUUUCUCAGUAUUUCCAGUUUUAGAAAUUCAUUGUGCUCAUGGUGAUUAGACUAA